rnacentral:rRNA from 1 species
CAGUCGUACCUGCGGACAAUCAGCCUUUCGAGUGCGAUUCUGUGGAGUGUGAGGAGCUAAACACCUUCGUGCCUGCAUAUUCGUGCUCUUGGGUGUACUUGCUCGUGUGGUUGGUUAGCAUCAAUUUCGGACGCCAUAAAAUGGCUGGAGGAAUGUAGCUUCGAUCUCGUAUUGAAGUGUUAUAGCCUUCGGUAGAUGUGAUGAGUCGGGAUUGAGGAUUGACAACGGAUACCCUUCGGGGCUACCUGUCU